CAGAACCUCACAACCUCUACCCAAAUUUAAUCUCGCCCAUACAUCCCUACCUAUAUCCGAAGCUGAAGAACUCAAUCAAACCACCUCUUCAUCUUCAGCCCCAGAAUCACCUCCCUACCUUAUCCUCUCCUCUGACCCAGAACCUUCUGACCCCGCUUCUCCCACUCUAGCCCACCUCUAUUCUCUAAACCAUAACACACAACAACCACAACAACCUCCACCAGAACCUGCAGUAACUUCACCACCCCCAGAACAAC
rnacentral:lncRNA from 1 species